rnacentral:rRNA from 1 species
CCUACGGGUGGCAGCAGUGAGGAAUAUUGGUCAAUGGGCGCAAGCCUGAACCAGCCAAGUAGCGUGAAGGAUGAAUGCGCUAAGGAUUGUAAACUUCUUUUGUAAAGGAAUAAAAUGAGGCACGUGAGCCUGUCUGAGUGUACUUUAUGAAUAAGGAUCGGCUAACUCCGUGCCAGCAGCCGCGGUAAUACGGAGGAUCCGAGCGUUAUCCGGAUUUAUUGGGGUUAAAGGGAGCGUAGGUGGGUGGGUAAGUCAGUGGUGAAAGUGUGCGGCUCAACCGUCAGAUUGCCAUUGAUACUGGCUGUCUUGAGUACAGGUGAGGUAGGCGGAACGCGUGGUGUAGCGGUGAAAUGCUUAGAUAUCACGAAGAACUCCGAUUGCGAAGGCAGCUUACGA